AACCGCUGCCCUUAAUUGGUCUCAGCUUUUAAGAAUUUAUUUUCGGUGCCGUUGGCCUCGGCGUCUGGGCCCCGCUGGAAACCCCAGCCCGGAGCCGAUCUUAUCGGCCACAAUUACAGAGACGGGCCGGCCUGUUGUUUCUGCGAAACCAGAUCCGGGUUGUUAAGGCUCCCGCUCCUCUUCACGUCUCAUAAACUUCAGCCUCCUCCUGGGAACCCGCCUUCGGUAUUUCCAUUUAAAAGUCAGAGUUUGCUUACAAAAGGAAACAACAGCCACAAGAGGGAGGCCUGCAGUUUAAAAUUAAACAGAUCCAUCAGUAUCACAGAAAUUGAGCUCAGGAUCCAUCAGAGAAAAAGCUGGCUGACACUUUUUAAGACUAAUAACAUAAAAGUGUAUAUAAGCUUUGGAAUUCUGUACCUAACUGAAGAAUACUGGAGAACUUGCACUCACUUCAGUCAUUUUUAAUACCAUUUUUGUACUACUCAUUGUUCCUAAUGAAAGCAUCAACCCAGAUUUUUAUUAUUAUUGUUAUUUUGCAUAGAUAUUGUGGGGUCCUUCCCCAAGUACCAAUAUAACUAUAAUUGUUUUUAAAGUCUCUGAUAGUUCCAAGCAAAUGUGACCUGAGCAGUUCAGCCAAUGACAGCAAAGGACUCGUUUGUGACUUCAGGGAAGCUUGACCAAUCAGAAGCAAAAGCGAAAUCUUUUAACAUACUUUAAGCAAAGUGUCUCUUGAAAAAUACAAAUUGAAAGGACAUGCCUAGCCCAGGAAGGAGAUGUGGUGAGCAGAUUUGGAAAACUGACUCCUUUCUCCUUCCUGUAACCCUGGGUUCCUGAAAAGACGUUGAGAAGAAGGGUUCAGGAGAGGACGAGGCUUUCAUCCGUGGCCAAGCGCAGAGAGGAAAUCGAAGGUAUUGGUUUUCCUCCCUGCCAACAAUUCGGCUGAGCUGUCUUCUCAGCCCCAGGGUAUCAAAGAUGGCUUGCAAGGAUGCACUUGGCUUUGGCCUAGACUCCUCCGUGUUCUGGUGUGUGUUACAUCUGUGACUCCGAAAAACGUUCUCCCCUGUGAAAACUCACUCCAGGAUUUCGAAAAAGAUGUUUUGAACAUUCCGUGCGUGUUGGCGGAUUCAGUAUCAAGCCAAUGGCAAAUCUCCACUCUCUUGCCCAGCUCUCUUUAUGGCUAAUGUACUUUAUUCUUCCCAAGCUGGUGUUCUCCAGAUGGAUUGGGAUACGAUUCCAGCCCUCUAAAAUCCCAGCCA